GAGCUUUGCUCCCUGAUGUUAGCGGCGGACGGGUGAGUAACACGUUGGGUAACCUGCCUGUAAGACUGGGAUAACUCCGGGAAACCGGGGCUAAUACCGGAUGGUUGUUUGAACCGCAUGGUUCAGACAUAAAAGGUGGCUUCGGCUACCACUUACAGAUGGACCCGCGGCGCAUUAGCUAGUUGGUGAGGUAACGGCUCACCAAGGCGACGAUGCGUAGCCGACCUGAGAGGGUGAUCGGCCACACUGGGACUGAGACACGGCCCAGACUCCUACGGGAGGCAGCAGUAGGGAAUCUUCCGCAAUGGACGAAAGUCUGACGGAGCAACGCCGCGUGAGUGAUGAAGGUUUUCGGAUCGUAAAGCUCUGUUGUUAGGGAAGAACAAGUGCCGUUCAAAUAGGGCGGCACCUUGACGGUACCUAACCAGAAAGCCACGGCUAACUACGUGCCAGCAGCCGCGGUAAUACGUAGGUGGCAAGCGUUGUCCGGAAUUAUUGGGCGUAAAGGGCUCG
rnacentral:rRNA from 1 species